CCGGCCCACCGCGGGGCACGGGCAAUCAAUGUGACCCUGUCGCGACAGCGCCCUGCAAUGCGGCGACGGCGAAUGAUCGGCGGCAGGUGGCGCUAGUGGCCGCCGCCGCCGGUUACGCUGCGCCGUGCAAGUCCGCGUCGCGGGGUAGAAGCUCGUCAACUUGGACACAGACUCCGUCUACUCUAUCUAUCCAUCUGCCUAUCCCCGCGCGCCAUUCCUGCUCCGAUUAUAUCCGUCCCAUCAUCGCGUGCUCCCCAACUUGUGCCGUCGAUGGAUACGUCGUCAUGGCGCCGGCAGAAGUGCAGCACCGCCGUCAGGUCAUAUGGAUCGCCAGCUAGUCUGCAAGUACACAUCGCUCAGUAAACGGUGCUGGACGAUCUGCCGUAUGGCUCCAAAUUCUUCAAAACAAAAGUUCAUGUGUUGAUGUGGGACGCUAGCUAGCGACCGAUUCGGCAGGUGGCAACCCCAACUAGAAUCGCUGCUGGCGACUCCACGUCCACACCGCACCUAUACUGGACUGGAAAUGCGGGGUUUUCCAGAGGGGGAUUGUAGCGGAAGCGCUCAAGAGGAGGAGGUGCGGCGUACAUAGAUGGCAACCGUCGCAUGAAUCACAGCCACAUCUGUCCAACAAGCGGGUCCCAUCGAACAGGCUCGGGAUUACAGUAUCUUUUUUGAUAGGAAAGGUAACCAUUGCAUUCUUUAUUUAAUUAAAUAUACGCACUCCUCCCGGAAUUACUUGUCACAGAAAUUAUAUGACAAGUGAUUCUGGACGGAGGGAGUAGUUACAGUGUCAAUGAGUUCGCUCAAAAUAAAGCUAGGAGCAUGAAGUGUUAAAAGUAUAACUGUGCCUACCUAUAUCGUGGGGGAGGGGCAGACCCAAUCCAAGUCAUGGUUCUGCACUCUAGUCUACAAUAUUUGCUAAGCAAUUAUUAACAUUAUUCUGAGUACGCGUAACAUGAGUAAUACAAGUUUUACGAAGAGACAAAGAUGCUUAAUUUCCUUCAUGAUAGAGGAGUACAUUGUUUCUAUGCCUGGACCGUUUGCACUGCAAUGAGAGGAUCCGACUCUACUGUGAUGGGAGAGUUUACUCCAAGCUUGAACUCUACUAAUUAGGAUUUUUCAUAACUUAAAUUCUAAGUGUAAGAAUAUAUUGUCCGUCUUUCUCCAUCAGUUCGGAUUUUUGAGUUGACUGGAGCAUGUAUUCAAUAUGGUAUCAGAGCCAAGAGGUCUUGAGUUCAAGACUUUGCCAACGCAGUAUUAAAAAAAGAUUCUGCGACCUACAUAAAAUCUCACGUCUAAGGACAAAAUAAGUCUAGAUAUGAGGGGAUGUUGAAAUAUAUUGCCUGUCUCUCUCCAUUAGUUCGGACUUUUCGAUGAGUUGGCUGGAGCAUGAAUUCAAUAAUAAGAAAUGGGACCAAAAUGUAUAUUUUCCUUCAAAAUUGUACUAGCUUUAAAAAAUUAUCCUCCAUGAAAUAACGCACAUGUCUAGUGCAAUAAAUCAUGUCAUUUUCACUACGAGAGAUAAAGAAAUUGUGACAUUUUUCUGAAUUAACUGUGGGACAAAGAAAGGGUGACAUGACUCCUUUUUUUAUUUGAGUUGACAUCUUGUUUUUAAAAAUAAAAGCAUAUGUAUGGUGUCGUAAAUCAAGUCAUUUUCGUUGGGUGAGACGGAGAAAUGCCUGUGCCAAAGGGAUAUAAAUAUUCUAUUACGUUAGUUUGUGAUUUACCCACCCCAUGAGUGAAAUAAUGUAAAUAAAUAUUUAUCAAAUUUUGCCCGUGAUUUAUUUUAUAUUUUGAUGAGAAGUUUGGUAA